rnacentral:rRNA from 1 species
UCGGGUUGUAAAGCACUUUUGUCCGGAAAGAAAACUUCGUCCCUAAUAUGGAUGGAGGAUGACGGUACCGGAAGAAUAAGCACCGGCUAACUACGUGCCAGCAGCGCGGUAAUCGUAGGGUGCGAGCGUUAAUCGGAAUUACUGGGCGUAAAGCGUGCGCAGGCGGUCUGUUAAGACCGAUGUGAAAUCCCCGGGCUUAACCUGGGAACUGCAUUGGUGACCGGCAGGCUUGAGUGUGGCAGAGGGAGGUAGAAUUCCACGUGUAGCAGUGAAAUGCGUAGAGAUGUGGAGGAAUACCGAUGGCGAAGGCAGCCUCCUGGGCCAACACUGACGCUCAUGCACGAAAGCGUGGGGAGCAAACAGGAUUAGAUACCCUGGUAGUCCACGCCCUAAACGAUGUCAACUAGUUGUUGGGGAUUCAUUUCCUUAGUAACGUAGCUAACGCGUGAAGUUGACCGCCUGGGGAGUACGGUCGCAAGAUUAAAACUCAAAGGAAUUGACGGGGACCCGCACAAGCGGUGGAUGAUGUGGAUUAAUUCGAUGCAACGCGAAAAACCUUACCUACCCUUGACAUGGUCGGAACCUGCUG